rnacentral:lncRNA from 8 species
GUUUUUGGGUCACAUCAUUUCUCAGGAGGGUGUAGCCACUGACCCUGCUAAAGUUCAAACUAUUUUGAACGUGACUGAGAGCGAGAUGAUGGAAGCUGAUGGUGUCACUCCGUCUCCUAGCAAAAUCCGUUCUUUUCUUGGUAUGGUAGUAUACUAUCAACACUACAUUGAGAAUUGUUCCAUGGUUGCUAGGCCGUUGUUUCAGCUAACUACAGGUCAGAAGAAGCCUAGGAGAGGCAAGGGUAGGAGGAGGCCUGGUCCCUCUCGCAGGCUCACUGCUGCAGACUGGACUGCCGAAUGUCAACUCGCUUUUGAAGCUUUGAAAUCAGCACUAGUUGACCAGGCACUGCUGGCUCAUCCAGAUUUUUCUCAGCCAUUUUUACUUUCUGUGGAUGCAUCUACUAGUGGUUUGGGAGCUGUACUAUCCCAAGUGCAAGAUGGGACGGCAAUAGCCAGGCCAAUAGCUUUUGCUAGUAAAUCUCUUAAUCAUGCACAAUCCAAGUAUCCUGCUCACCGGCUGGAAUUUCUAGCCAUGAAAUGGGCCAUUCAUGAUAAAUUCAGCCAUUGGCUGCGAGGGCAUAAGUUUACUGUGUGGACCGACAACAAUCCACUCAAAUAUAUUCUUACAAAGCCGAGACUUGAUGCAUGCGAGCAGAGAUGGGUCGCAAAGCUGGCACCCUUUGACUUUGAUAUCCAGUACAUACCAGGUCCCAAGAAUGUCGUUGCUGAUGCCUUGAGCAGAGAGCCAUUUGUUCGCUCCACAGUUUUGCACCGACUGACAAGAAUCCCAUAUGAUGUCCUGCUGGAGGAAGCCAGAGGUCUUCGAGUGGGUGAUGUUCAAGACAUGUUCCGCCUCUCCUGUGAACAGCCCGAGGCUGGCUGUGGAACGUCUAUGGCUCCUGGGAGUGAGUUAAGUAGAGCUGGAGACGAUGUCAGUGGGUUGGUUUCCUGUGAAGAGGUGUCUGCUGUCCUCCAUGCUCACCGCCGAUGGGAUGAUGGUGCCACGGUGAGGGCCAUUUCACAUGCGCAGCACCUUGAGAAGUUGAUGUCCAUGGGUCAGAGCCCUUUACCUGUCUUUACACACAAGGAGCUGUAUGAUAACCAGUCACUGGAUCCUGUCAUCAGCAGAGUCAUGUUCUUUGUAGAUAGAGGCCGGCGCCCAUCUAGGAGAGAGCGAGUCCUUGAAGCUAAUGAAACAGUUUAUACUCUAAGACAGUGGGGAAAACUCACCACACGGUUAGGGAUUCUGUAUCGUGUCUCAAAACACCCAGUGAGUAAGAAGAAAAUAUUCCAGUAUGUUGUACCUGUGUCUUUGAGAGGCCUUGUGUUGAAGGGAGUUCAUGAUGAUGCUGGUCAUCAGGGUCAGCAGCGCACAUUGUGGCUUACGAGACAGCGGUUUUACUGGGACUCUAUGGAAAAGGAUGUCAAGGAAUACGGGCCCACUGUAAGAGAUGCGUGUUGAGUAAAGCACCUGAGCCUGAAGCAAGAGCUCCACUUGUCUCCAUUGUGACAACGGCACCUUUGGAACUUGUGUGUAUUGAUUUCUGGACUGCAGAAGAUUCAAACAACAAGUCUAUUGAUGUGUUAGUAGUGACUGAUCACUUUACUAAGCUGGCAUGUGCGUAUCCGUGUCCAAACCAGUCUGCUAAGACUGUGGCUCGUGUUCUCUGGAAUAAUUUCUUCUGCGUUUAUGGGUUCGCUGAUUGUAUCCAUUCUGACAGGGGUGCUAACUUUGAAAGUUCACUUAUUGCAGAAUUACUUCAGUUAUCUGGUGUUGGAAAGUCCC